rnacentral:lncRNA from 1 species
UUAAAUCUGGAUCCAUUAAGUAGUGGAUGUCCAUGGUGCGACAGGGAAAGCAUAAAUCACAUAUUCAUUGUGUGUAAUUUUGUUAAUGGAUUUUGGUUACGAAUUUUCAAUUGGUGGGGUGUCAAUUGGAAACUGGUGGAGAAUUUUGUGGAAUUUUUUGCUAUGUGCUGCGAUGUGAAUUAGUUUGGUGUUUAAAAAAG